AGUAGGAUUGCUGGGUCAUAUGGUAACUCUGUGUUUAAUCUUUUGAGAAACAACCAGACUGUUUUCCAAUAUGGCUGCACAAUUCUGCAUUCUCACCAGCAGA
rnacentral:pre_miRNA from 1 species